AUUUUCAGUGUCUUCCAGUGCUGCAACCACUUGGAUAUUCCUGCUACACUCGUACCUGUAUGUGGUCUGUUGGCUGUCUCUAUGCUGUUCUGGGAAUGGGAGAAAUAGAUUAGAUCAAUGGGUUCAAUUCUUCGAGAAUUUUAUCCUGCCCCCUUCUAAAGAAAUCUUUUUGGAAUACUGGAAAUCUACUUCACACAGGAAAAACAAAAUCUGGAUUUCAGGAACGGUUCCAUCUGGAUGGCUGUUUCCAACAGAGACCAGGAGUAACAGCACAGUGUAAGGCCAUGGGUCAGCAUGCACUUACAAGAUCCAGCUCUAUGUGUACAGCUGGAGGGAGGAUAUGGCUUCUGUAGGAGGAGAAAUUCCGGUUCAUUGUGCUGGGUGUAGGAAGUGGCUUUAUGCAAUGCUGUCACAAGCACAGGGAGACAAGAAAUGCCUCCCUACUGACAACCUGAGCAUGUGAAAAUGCUGUGGCCUGAUUACCAAAAAUGAGUGCAAGGCUGAUGACAGAAUCAACAUCGGAGUGGCAUCACGGUGCAGGAGUGCCAAGCUGAGAGAUCUGCACACCCCUGCUGAGGAGAAGAUGGUGCCCAGGUGCAGUGGUGAAGGAUUUUUCCAUGGAGACUCAGAGGGCAGAAUGCCAACUGCUGUGCUGAAUCACCAACACUUCCCAAAGCACCCACGAGAUCCCAGGUGGCCCAGCCUUGCCAGCUUGGGAUGAGGUUUCCUUUAGGUACUGGAAGCUUGCAAGUUGGAGGAUUCCAUGAUAGACCUCACCUUCCAGUAAUCUGUGGGUUUCCUAAAAACACUGCUUAAGAAAAUAAUUCAUAUAGGAUGCAUUAUAUUGAAAAGUAGAUAAUAACAAUAGCCAGAAAAAUAACAGAUUAUAAAGGCAUGGAAAAACUUAAAUUUGCUACUAAACCAAUGUCAAAUGAAUGGAUAUCAAAUUAAAUGGCAAAGAUUUAUAUGUUUUAUACAGGUAACAUUAGAAAGAAGUAUUAAUCAAUCUUAGCUCAUUAAAUUGCUGAGCCAGCCUAGCCACUGUUCACCCAUGGAUUCCUAUGCCUGCCGUCCUGCCUGUGAGCUGCUUUUCAGGAUCCCCUGCACAGAUUUAUCCUUACAGGCAAUAUUGCAAAGACCCCUACCGAGCACUUCAUGUAUAAUUCAAGGGUUGAAGCAAUCAUGAAGGUCAGAAAGAGGAGGAGGAGGAACAGAAAGAUGUCAGAAGGCGUCCCCAUGGCACAGGCACUGAACCUGGCUCCAAACCCCAUACAUGAGCCCAAUCCAUGUCCCUCCCUCAGUGCUGAUGCUGUGUUGCCCUGCUCAGUGCUACAGACUGUGGUGAUACUCCAGACUGUGACACACCUGGCUGCCCCAGGGUCUACCCAAGGAAUCUGCACUUUGUGUGAGGGUGUCCUGCACCCACAACAGGACUCCUUGCUUCUCUUGCUCUGGCACACACACUUUCCCCAGCUAACAUUUUAAAACUC